rnacentral:tRNA from 1 species
GCCAGUAUGGUGGUUAUCACACUCGACUUGUAAUCGAGUAAGCUCGGAUUCGAAUCCCGAAUAAGGCA